AUGACGCUGGCCCCCAUGAGAUCACCACCACCAUCCUCCUCCUCCUUUUGGGCUGAAGGAGACGCCGCUGCCGGCCACGGCGGCCCUGGUGGCCAUGACGGCGAAGCGAGAUCGAGGCGGCUGUUCUCGUGCCUCUUCUGCGACAAGAAGUUCCUCAAGUCUCAGGCGUUGGGGGGCCACCAGAAUGUGCACAAGAAGGAGCGGGCCGGCAGCUGGAACCCUCGCCUCUACCUACAAUCCGACCACGGCGACCGGCCGGCCACCGCGGCGGCAAAUGCGCCGGCGAGAUGGCCAAAUGCGCGCCUUGAUGACGACGGCGAGAAGCAGUUGCAGCAGCUUGAUCUCAACGUCAAGCUUUAA
rnacentral:rRNA from 1 species